GCUUGUCUCAAAGAUUAAGCCAUGCAUGUCUAAGUGUAAAUACGUCUACACUGUGAAACUGCGAAUGGCUCAUUAAAUCAGUUAUCGUUUAUUUGAUGAUCUCUUGUUACAUGGAUAACCGUAGUAAUUCUAGAGCUAAUACAUGCGUCAAGACCUGACUUUUCGGAAGGGUUGUGUUUAUUAGAUAAAAAGCCAAUCCAUGCUCUGCAUGGUAUUGUGGUGACUCAUAAUAACCGAUCGAAUCGCAUGGCGUAAGCCGGCGAUAAAUCAUUCAAGUUUCUGACCUAUCAGCUUCCGACGGUAGGGUAUUGGCCUACCGUGGCUAUGACGGGUAACGGGGAAUUAGGGUUCGAUUCCGGAGAGGGAGCCUGAGAAACGGCUACCACAUCUAAGGAAGGCAGCAGG
rnacentral:rRNA from 1 species